rnacentral:rRNA from 1 species
UACGUAGGGCGCAAGCGUUAUCCGGAAUUAUUGGGCGUAAAGAGCUCGUAGGCGGUUUGUCGCGUCUGCCGUGAAAGUCCGGGGCUCAACUCCGGAUCUGCGGUGGGUACGGGCAGACUAGAGUGUUGCAGGGGGAGACUGGAAUUCCUGGUGUAGCGGUGAAAUGCGCAGAUAUCAGGAGGAACACCGGUGGCGAAGGCGGGUCUCCUGGGCAACAACUGACGCUGAGGAGCGAAAGCGUGGGGAGCGAACAGG